UUCAAGCAGAGCAGCAGGAUAUGCUUGCCAA
rnacentral:piRNA from 1 species